rnacentral:rRNA from 1 species
CCUACGGGGGGCAGCAGUGGGGGAUAUUGCACAAUGGGCGCAACCCUGAUGCAGCGACGCCGCGUGGGUGAAGAAGCGCCUCGGCGCGUAAAGCCCUGUCAGCAGGGAAGAAAAUGACGGUACCUGAAGAAGAAGCCCCGGCUAACUACGUGCCAGCAGCCGCGGUAAUACGUAGGGGGCAAGCGUUAUCCGGAUUUACUGGGCGUAAAGGGGGCGCAGACGGCGAGGCAAGACGGGAGUGAAAGCCCGGGGCGCAACCCCGGGAGUGCUCUUGGAACUGCGUGGCUGGAGUGCAGGAGGGGCAGGCGGAAUGUCUGGUGUAGCGGUGAAAUGCGUAGAGAUCAGGAGGAACACCGGUGGCGAAGGCGGCCUGCUGGGCUGCAACUGACGUUGAGGCCCGAAAGCGUGGGGAGCAAACAGGAUUAGAGACCCUUGUAGUC